AGGACGAACGCUGGCGGUGUGCUUAACACAUGCAAGUGGAGCGACGAACCAGGGCUUGCCCUGGGGCAGAGCCGCGAACGGGUGAGUAACACGUGGGCAACCUGCCCUCAGCUCUGGGAUAACUCCGGGAAACCGGUGCUAAUACUGGAUAUCGACUUCUGCCUCGCAUGGGGUGUUGUUGAAAGUUUUUCGGCUGGGGAUGGGCCCGCGGCCUAUCAGCUUGUUGGUGGGGUGAUGGCCUACCAAGGCGACGACGGGUA
rnacentral:rRNA from 1 species